UACGUAGGGUGCGAGCGUUAAUCGGAAUUACUGGGCGUAAAGCGUGCGCAGGCGGUGAUGUAAGACAGAUGUGAAAUCCCCGGGCUCAACCUGGGAACUGCAUUUUGUGACUGCAUCGCUGGAGUGCGGCAGAGGGGGGAUGGAAUUCCGCGUGUAGCAGUGAAAUGCGUAGAUAUCGGGGAGGAACACCUGUGGCGAAAGCGGCG
rnacentral:rRNA from 1 species